rnacentral:rRNA from 1 species
CAAAACCAACUACUUUGAAGGGUAACCUUUAAGGCUUGAUCUCAAAUCAGAUAAGACUACCCCGCUGAACUUAAGCAUAUCCAUAAGCGGAGGAAAAGAAACUAACAAGGAUUCCCCUAGUAACGGCGAGUGAAGCGGGAACAGCUCAAAUUUGAAAUCUUGCAGCUUUGCUGUACGAAUUGUAGUUUAAAGAAACGUUUUCGGGGUUAGGCCAGGGUCAAGUCUUUUGGGAUAAGGCGUCAUAGAAGGUGAGAACCCUGUAUGCGCUCUGGCUAUUCAACCCUAUGUGAUACGCUUUCAAAGAGUCGGGUUGUUUGGGAAUGCAGCCCAAAAUGGGUGGUAAAUACCAUCUAAAGCUAAAUAUUGGCGAGAGACCGAUAGCGAACAAGUACCGUGAGGGAAAGAUGAAAAGAACUUUGAAAAGAGAGUUAAAAGUACGUGAAAUUGUCAAAAGGGAAACACUUGAAACCAGUCUUGCCUGCUGAAUCUCAACCGACCUUACGGUCUGGCUCAUGUUUCAGCUGGCAGGUCAAAAUCAGUUUUGGCUGUUGGAUAAAGCUUGAGGAAGGUAGCCUUCGGGUGUUAUAGCCUCAAGAAUAAUACAAUGGCCAAGAUUGAGGAACGCAGUCAAGCCUUGGAAGCCCAAUCGCUAGUUGAUCUCUCUUUGCCUUGACAACCUAGUUGACUUGGCUUGGGAUAAGGCUAAUCGGUCGGUCCCUUCACAACUUGUACUUAGGAUUUUGACAAAAUGGUUUUAAAUGACCCGUCUUGAAACACGGACCAAGGAGUCUAACACAUAUGCGAGUAUUUGGGUGGUAAACCCGGGAUGCGUAAUGAAAGUAUUAAGGUGGGAUCCCCGUCAAAAGGGUGCACCAUCGACCGGUCAGGAUUUUUAAUGAUAGAUCUGAGUAAGAGCAUAUUUGUUAGGACCCGAAAGAUGGUGAACUAUGCCUGAAUAGGGCGAAGCCAGAGGAAACUCUGGUGGAGGCUCGUAGCGAUUCUGACGUGCAAAUCGAUCGUCAAAUUUGGGUAUAGGGGGCGAAAGACUAAUCGAACCAUCUAGUAGCUGGUUCCCUCGA